CAAAAUGGAGAGUUUGAUCCUGGCUCAGGAUGAACGCUGGCGGUAUGCUUAACACAUGCAAGUCGAACGGUCUUUUAGGAGACAGUGGCGGACGGGUGAGUAACGCGUAAGAAUCUACCUUCAGGUUGGGGACAACCACUGGAAACGGUGGCUAAUACCGAAUGUGCCGAGAGGUGAAAGGCUUGCUGCCUGAAGAAGAGCUUGCGUCUGAUUAGCUAGUUGGUAGUGUAAGAGACUACCAAGGCGACGAUCAGUAGCUGGUCUGAGAGGAUGAUCAGC
rnacentral:rRNA from 1 species